AGGACGAACGCUGGCGGCGUGCUUAACACAUGCAAGUCGAACGGUGAUGGGGAGCUUGCUCUUCUGAUCAGUGGCGAACGGGUGAGUAACACGUGAGUAACCUGCCCUCGACUCUGGGAUAAGCGUUGGAAACGACGUCUAAUACCGGAUACGACCUCGGAUGGCAUCUUCCGGGGUGGAAAGAGUUUCGGUCGAGGAUGGACUCGCGGCCUAUCAGCUUGUUGGUGAGGUAGUGGCUCACCAAGGCGACGACGGGUAGCCGGCCUGAGAGGGUGACCGGCCACACUGGGACUGAGACACGGCCCAGACUCCUACGGGAGGCAGCAGUGGGGAAUAUUGCACAAUGGGCGCAAGCCUGAUGCAGCAACGCCGCGUGAGGGACGACGGCCUUCGGGUUGUAACCUCUUUAGUCAGGAAGAAGCGAAAGUGACGGUACCUGCAGAAAAGCACGGCUAACUACGUGCCAGCAGCCGCGGU
rnacentral:rRNA from 1 species